UAUUCACAGCAGGGAACAAGUUCAUGUACGUUCGUUCACAAACACGUUCUACUAUGCGAAGGUUCAAGGAUGUUAUUACUGUUUCCUUGUUUUUUUCACAAACAAUCGUUCGAAACGGGUUACACAAAUACUUGUAACAAUUUCAAUGUCUUACAAUUUGCUUUGCGCAAUAGAAACGAUUCUAAAACGUUUUAAACAGCUGCUUCCCGACAUUUGCUGUUGCUUCAGUGUGAAUGGAAGUGUAAUAGAAUCGGAUUUGGAAAACUUUCACCUAUCAGUUUCUUGCUGCAAACGAGAUGUGUGGUAGCACCAUUUUGUGCGAUACGUUUGGAUGCAAAUGUGCAUCAGUCGGUCGUUGUCUAAAAACGCUGAGUAAUAAAUCGUUGAUUACAGGCUUGCCUGAUAGCACCCAAAUAGCGAUGAUUUAAGAGACAACCCCUCAGCCACGCCAAUUGUAUGCGGUUUGAUAGUAAAUAGGUCUGCGUUUAUGUUUCCUCUCUUCUUCAAUUCAAUUAGCCCCAAUCAUAUGUUUUUAGAUGAUGCUUGCUUGCGUCGUAGGCUUGUUCACAGAAAACACACUCACACACAUCACUCGUAAACAUGUGUUCGGUACGCUGCGUUGUAACUUGGUGACAGUCCAAGAAGAUAGAUAGGGAAUAAUUUGCUGGGGCACAUAAUCAACACUCCCACCGAGUGGAAUGCGUCAUAUGCUCUACGGCGGUAUACAAGAAAAGACGUUCUAGAAUGACGGUAUAACGCUUUUGUAUAUGUGGGUUUUGCUGCAUGAUCAUAAAACCGAUCGCAGUGACGAUCAGAAUAGAAAAUGUACACACAUACGCAUUCAAUCUUAACGCACGGUCAACAAAGGAAGCAUUACGUUUUGUUUUUCUUUCUUCUGUGAACUUCCCGUUCAUCUCUGUUGAAUUCCGUACAUUCAUUGCAUCGUAGGUUUCACGGGAACAUCUUCCGAUAAGCUAAAAGAGGAAAGCUAGAAACCAAAGCUGUAACUUUUCAUAACAUUUCAUUUAUGCGCGUUACUACGGCGACGCAUUGAAGUUAUUUUUUUCCAAUUGCUGAACUUUAAAACAAGUUUGCAUUUCUGGUGAGCUCUGGACUCGCAACUUACAACCUAGCUCUGAUACAGACGAUGGAGUUAUUGCUUGGACGUGCUGACCUUGAAGAUGAAUGCUGUCUGUUGACGGAACAUUUGUAUGAACGAGCCAUCCCCAAGCGGCGGGUUGUUUUAUGUUGUCAUGUUAUUCGAAGAAAAACGGCAAACUAUUCACAACAUCAACCUGUAUCAUAAACAGUGUGUACUCUUAGUGUGUGUCCAUCUCUGUACCGAUACAACACCAAGCAAAAUAAGCCAUACGAUGCAAGGCGCUUCAUUUUCCACUAUCACACAUUUCUGUUUAUAGUUUUGCUAUGUACGGAAGCAGCCCUUAAAAUAGCUCACGAAAACAAAUAAGAUUGAUUAUUUACCAAGA